rnacentral:lncRNA from 1 species
CUCAAGCUAAGUUAGACCAAACACUAACCUCGAUGCCACGAACACAAUUCAAGCCUCAACUACCGGUUUACCCCUACAUUAUACUUUCAAUUCACUUGUAUCUAGCCACAAUUUACUUAACAAUAUUAAUAAAUGCUAAAUGAAUCAAUUCUAAUGCAGGAAAAUAGGUUUUCUAAUAAUUUUCUCAAAAAGUCAAAAAUCG